rnacentral:rRNA from 1 species
GACGAACGCUGGCGGCGUGCUUAACACAUGCAAGUCGAACGGAAAGGCCCUGCUUUUGUGGGGUUCUCGAGUGGCGAACGGGUGAGUAACACGUGAGUAACCUGCCCUUGACUUUGGGAUAACUUCAGGAAACUGGGGCUAAUACCGUAUAGGAGCUCCUGCUGCAUGGUGGGGGUUGGAAAGUUUCGGCGGUUGGGGAUGGACUCGCGGCUUAUCAGCUUGUUGGUGGGGUAGUGGCUUACCAAGGCUUUGACGGGUAGCCGGCCUGAGAGGGUGACCGGCGACAAGGGGACUGAGAUACGGCGCAGACUCCUACGGGAGGCAACAGUGGCAAAUAUUGCACAAUGGGAGGAAGCCUGAUGCAGCGACGCCGCGUGCGGGAUGACGGCCUUCGGGUUGUAAACCGCUUUCGCCUGUGACGAAGCGUGAGUGACGGUAAUGGGUAAAGAAGCACCGGCUAACUACGUG